rnacentral:rRNA from 1 species
CUCCGCGCUCAUUCCUAGGUCACACCCGUUCCCAUGCCGAACACGGAAGUUAAGCUCUUCAGCGCCGAUGGUAGUUGGGGGCUUCCCCCUGUGAGAGUAGGACGCCGCCAAGC